rnacentral:misc_RNA from 1 species
GGAAAACAAAAGCUACUCCUCGCAUCUACUAUUUACCUUUAUCAGAUGAACAGGUGCAGGUAAAACACACAGCAGCAGCAAGGGGAAAAGACACAAAGCAGUAAGUUGAGACAAUGCCAGCGAUUAGGUGUUGUAUCCUGGCUGCUGCUUGUUGUGCUUGUGCCCUGUGGAUUCCGUAGUGAGUUUAGAUUUUGCAAAGGUAAAAAAGGCAUAGAGUGGCAUGUUUGAAUGUUGUCUUGGGUGCUGCUAGCAGGGAGGAAUUUAUCUCUGUUGAGCUGGAAAAUGGAGGGUUUUGGAAUAGAAAUCCGAUUGGGGUAGUUUUUUUCUUGCAUAUUAAGUAGGAUAUUGAGAUUGACUUCUAAAAAAAGGAUUACUUUGUAUUUGGUUAUGUAAUCAUGUUUUCCUGUCGGAACAAAAGAACCUACGAUGAGUUAGAUUUGUAGUAUCAUAUGAUGC